UACGUAGGGGGCAAGCGUUGUCCGGAAUCAUUGGGCGUAAAGCGCGUGUAGGCGGUCCGGUAAGUCCGCUGUGAAAGUCCAGGGCUCAACCCUGGGAUGCCGGUGGAUACUGUCGGGCUAGAGUACGGAAGAGGCGAGUGGAAUUCCCGGUGUAGCGGUGAAAUGCGCAGACAUCGGAGGAACACCAAUUGCGAAGGCAGCUCGCUGGGACGUUACUGACGCUGAGACGCGAAAGCGUGGGGAGCAAACAGG
rnacentral:rRNA from 1 species